ensembl:rRNA 5S_rRNA 5S ribosomal RNA
GUGUGCGGCUCUACCCCCCUGAAAAUGUCUGACCUCAUGUCAUCUCAGAUGGUAAGCAAGGUCAGGCUUAGAUAACAUAUGGAUAGGAGAUUGCCUAGGAAUGUUUGCUACUGCAUCUG